ACAGAAACAGCUGUGUAGGAGGCUUAGAACUGGAUAAGGAACAGCAAAACUCUGCUACUAAGAUAAUACACAGAGCGGUGUAGCCCCUGCUGAGACUGUGGAGACAAGUGCUUAUUUUCCCUCUGAUGAGAUACGGAGGAGGUAAACACAACAGUCAUUAAGCGCUGCACAGUGAAUUAUCAUGGCCUUUCAGCAUGAGAAACGGGGCAGAUUGGAUUUGGAACUGGCCUCUGUAUCCCUUCCUCCAGUCCUAUGAAUCAUCAGCCCCCAUUACAUGUGAGGCUCCAUUGAGUCUUUGCUUCAAUCAUUUUAUUGCCUUUAAUCAAAUGAUAACAUUUGUGGUUAAAAAUAAUUGGAGAGAGUUAAAUGUCCAUAUUUUGUUACUCAGACGAAGACCGGACCUCCCUCUGUAAUGCAGGUGUAUGAAUAUGUUUGAGAAGAAUUGCUUUUCCUUGUUCAAAGGACAGUUUGUUUCUUUUUCUUUCUAUUGAAUGUGUUUAUUUUCUUCUCCAGAAGCCUGUUCUCAAGGUGAAUCUUAACAUCGGGAUAAAUUUAUGGCGUGGUAGAUAAUUUAUUACUGCAGUGAUGUGCCCAGAGUGCACGUGUAGUUUCGUGAUCCUGUGGUGGAUAGUACCAAGGUCUCAUGGGGCUGCACUCAAUGGACCCUGGCAUAAACAUUUGCAAGAAGAGAUGGCCCUCUCAGUUCCAACACGUUUAGAGGAGGUUGCUUCCUACCUCCACACAGGUUAAGUGAUGAAACUGCUGGAUAAUUGGUAGGAGGCCAUUUUGGUCGAAGGGGAAUUAUGGAACAAUUUUCUUGUCAAAAGGUUUAUUUGGUUUACCUUUGCAAGGAUCAGCAUGAUUACUAGGUUAUGUGGAGGUCAUUCAUGUAAAUUAUCUGCCUUCUCAUUUUAAAUGUUAUUUAAAGGCCUAGAACCUAUCCAUUGACCCAUUAAUAAACUUUAUAUUACAUUUUGUAUGAA